UAGGGAAUCUUCGGCAAUGGACGAAAGUCUGACCGAGCAACGCCGCGUGAGUGAAGAAGGUUUUCGGAUCGUAAAACUCUGUUGUUAGAGAAGAACAAGGACGUUAGUAACUGAACGUCCCCUGACGGUAUCUAACCAGAAAGCCACGGCUAACUACGUGCCAGCAGCCGCGGUAAUACGUAGGUGGCAAGCGUUGUCCGGAUUUAUUGGGCGUAAAGCGAGCGCAGGCGGUUUCUUAAGUCUGAUGUGAAAGCCCCCGGCGCAACCGGGGAGGGUCAUUGGAAACUGGGGGACUGGAGUGCAGAAGAGGAGAGUGGAAUUCCAUGUGUAGCGGUGAAAUGCGUAGAUAUAUGGAGGAACACCAGUGGCGAAGGCGGCUCUCUGGUCUGUAACUGACGCUGAGGCUCGAAAGCGUGGGGAGCAAACAGG
rnacentral:rRNA from 1 species